rnacentral:tRNA from 1 species
AUAUAAAUAAGCUAAAUUUUAAGCUUUUAGGUUCAUACCCUUAAUAUAGACUCAUUAUCUUUUAUAUA